UACGUAGGGGGCAAGCGUUGUCCGGAAUUAUUGGGCGUAAAGGGCUCGUAGGCGGUUUGUCGCGUCGGGAGUGAAAACGCCGUGCUUAACACGGCGCUUGCUUUCGAUACGGGCAGACUAGAGGUAUGCAGGGGAGAACGGAAUUCCUGGUGUAGCGGUGAAAUGCGCAGAUAUCAGGAGGAACACCGGUGGCGAAGGCGGUUCUCUGGGCAUUACCUGACGCUGAGGAGCGAAAGUGUGGGGAGCGAACAGG
rnacentral:rRNA from 1 species